rnacentral:rRNA from 1 species
AUUGAACGCUGGCGGCAGGCCUAACACAUGCAAGUCGAACGAGUGGCGGACGGGUGAGUAAUGUCUGGGAAUCUGGCUUAUGGAGGGGGAUAACGACGGGAAACUGUCGCUAAUACCGCGUACCAUAGGAUGAGCCCAAGUGGGAUGAGGUAGUUGGUGGGGUAAUGGCCGACCAAGGCGACGCUCUCGAGCUGGUCUGAGAGGAUGAACAGCCAAACCGGAAAUGAGACACGGCCCAGACUUCUACGGGAGGCAGCAGUGGGGAAUAUUGCACAAUGGGGGCAACCUGACGCAGCCAUGCCGCGUGGAUGAAGAAGGCCUUCGGGUUGUAAAGUUCUUUCGGUGACGAGGCGUGAAUCGCAGAAGAAGCACCGGCUAACUCCGUGCCAGCAGCCGCGGUAAUAC